rnacentral:rRNA from 1 species
CGCUGGCGGCAGGCCUAACACAUGCAAGUCGAGCGGUAGCACAGAGAGCUUGCUCUCGGGUGACGAGCGGCGGACGGGUGAGUAAUGUCUGGGAAACUGCCUGAUGGAGGGGGAUAACUACUGGAAACGGUAGCUAAUACCGCAUAAUGUCGCAAGACCAAAGUGGGGGACCUUCGGGCCUCAUGCCAUCAGAUGUGCCCAGAUGGGAUUAGCUAGUAGGUGGGGUAACGGCUCACCUAGGCGACGAUCCCUAGCUGGUCUGAGAGGAUGACCAGCCACACUGGAACUGAGACACGGUCCAGACUCCUACGGGAGGCAGCAGUGGGGAAUAUUGCACAAUGGGCGCAAGCCUGAUGCAGCCAUGCCGCGUGUGUGAAGAAGGCCUUCGGGUUGUAAAGCACUUUCAGCGGGGAGGAAGGCGUUAAGGUUAAUAACCUUGGCGAUUGACGUUACCCGCAGAAGAAGCACCGGCUAACUCCGUGCCAGCAGCCGCGGUAAUACGGAGGGUGCAAGCGUUAAUCGGAAUUACUGGGCGUAAAGCGCACGCAGGCGGUCUGUCAAGUCGGAUGUGAAAUCCCCGGGCUCAACCUGGGAACUGCAUUCGAAACUGGCAGGCUAGAGUCUUGUAGAGGGGGGUAGAAUUCCAGGUGUAGCGGUGAAAUGCGUAGAGAUCUGGAGGAAUACCGGUGGCGAAGGCGGCCCCCUGGACAAAGACUGACGCUCAGGUGCGAAAGCGUGGGGAGCAAACAGGAUUAGAUACCCUGGUAGUCCACGCCGUAAACGAUGUCGAUUUGGAGGUUGUGCCCUUGAGGCGUGGCUUCCGGAGCUAACGCGUUAAAUCGACCGCCUGGGGAGUACGGCCGCAAGGUUAAAACUCAAAUGAAUUGACGGGGGCCCGCACAAGCGGUGGAGCGUGUGGUUUAAUUCGAUGCAACGCGAAGAACCUUACCUGGUCUUGACAUCCACAGAACUUUCCAGAGAUGGAUUGGUGCCUUCGGGAACUGUGAGACAGGUGCUGCAUGGCUGUCGUCAGCUCGUGUUGUGAAAUGUUGGGUUAAGUCCCGCAACGAGCGCAACCCUUAUCCUUUGUUGCCAGCGGUUAGGCCGGGAACUCAAAGGAGACUGCCAGUGAUAAACUGGAGGAAGGUGGGGAUGACGUCAAGUCAUCAUGGCCCUUACGACCAGGGCUACACACGUGCUACAAUGGCAUAUACAAAGAGAAGCGACCUCGCGAGAGCAAGCGGACCUCAUAAAGUAUGUCGUAGUCCGGAUUGGAGUCUGCAACUCGACUCCAUGAAGUCGGAAUCGCUAGUAAUCGUAGAUCAGAAUGCUACGGUGAAUACGUUCCCGGGCCUUGUACACACCGCCCGUCACACCAUGGGAGUGGGUUGCAAAAGAAGUAGGUAGCUUAACCUUCGGGAGGGCGCUUACCACUUUGUGAUUCAUGACUGGGG